GGUUUGAGGUAAUGGCUCUGUGGAUGCUCUCGUUCGUUUCCGGCUUGUCAAACAUCGUUUGACAGUACG